CAGUCGCCACGGGAAUACGGAGGGAGCUAGCGUUGUUCGGAAUUACUGGGCGUAAAGCGCGCGUAGGCGGUUACUCAAGUCAGAGGUGAAAGCCCGGGGCUCAACCCCGGAACUGCCCUUGAAACUAGGUGACUAGAAUCUUGGAGAGGUCAGUGGAAUUCCGAGUGUAGAGGUGAAAUUCGUAGAUAUUCGGAAGAACACCAGUGGCGAAGGCGACUGACUGGACAAGUAUUGACGCUGAGGUGCGAGAGCGUGGGGAGCAAACAGGAUUAGAUACCCCCGUAGUCCCUGUCUCUUAUAA
rnacentral:rRNA from 1 species